GAGGAAUAUUGGUCAAUGGGCGGGAGCCUGAACCAGCCAAGUCGCGUGAAGGAAGAAGGAUCUAUGGUUCGUAAACUUCUUUUGCAGGGGAAUAAAGUGCGGGACGUGUCCUGUUUUGUAUGUACCCUGAGAAUAAGGAUCGGCUAACUCCGUGCCAGCAGCCGCGGUAAUACGGAGGAUCCGAGCGUUAUCCGGAUUUAUUGGGUUUAAAGGGUGCGUAGGUGGGUUGAUAAGUCAGCGGUGAAAGUUUGCAGCUUAACUGUAAAAAUGCCGUUGAAACUGUCGGACUUGAGUGUAAAUGAGNUAGGCGGAAUGCGUGGUGUAGCGGUGAAAUGCAUAGAUAUCACGCAGAACUCCGAUUGCGAAGGCAGCUUACUAAGCUACAACUGACACUGAAGCACGAAAGCGUGGGGAUCAAACA
rnacentral:rRNA from 1 species